rnacentral:rRNA from 1 species
CAGUGGGGAAUCUUGCGCAAUGCGCGAAAGCGUGACGCAGCAACGCCGCGUGGGUGAAGAAGGCCUUCGGGUUGUAAAGCCCUUUCAGUUGGGACGAAGCUUCGUCGGUUAAUAGCCGGCCGGAGUGACGGUACCUUCAGAAGAAGCCCCGGCUAACUACGUGCCAGCAGCCGCGGUAAUACGUAGGGGGCAAGCGUUGUCCGGAAUCAUUGGGCGUAAAGCGCGUGUAGGCGGCUCGGUAAGUCUGCUGUGAAAGUCCAGGGCUCAACCCUGGAAUGCCGGUGGAAACUGUCGAGCUAGAGUACGGAAGAGGCGAGUGGAAUUCCUGGUGUAGCGGUGAAAUGCGCAGAUAUCAGGAGGAACACCAAUGGCGAAGGCAGCUCGCUGGGACGUUACUGACGCUGAGACGCGAAAGCGUGGGGAGCAAACAGGAUUAGA